GCUCUUUCAUGCGGUUACAAUCGUGGCAACUCUGAAUACUAGAUAUGCUUUUUAUGAGCCAGUGAGAGGGGGGGGAUAAGCUUCAUCGUCGAGAGGGAAACAGCCCAGAUCACUAGCUAAGGCCCCAAAAUGAUCGUUAAGUGACAAAGGAGGUGAGAAUGCAGAAACAACCAGGAGGUUUGCUUAGAAGCAGCCACCCUUUAAAGAGUGCGUAAUAGCUCACUGGUGGAGCGUUCUUGCGCCGAAAAUGUCCGGGACUAAAUGAUCUGCCGAAGCUGUGGGAUAUUUUACUUGAUAAAUAAAAUAUCGGUAGGGGAGCGUUCUGCUGUAGGGUGAAGCAGUAACGUAAGUUACUGUGGACGAAGCGGAAGUGAGAAUGUCGGCUUGAGUAACGCAAACAUUGGUGAGAAUCCAAUGCCCCGAAAACCUAAGGAUUCCUCCACUAGGUUCGUCCAUGGAGGGUGAGUCAGGACCUAAGGCGAGGCCGAAAGGCGUAGUCGAUGGCAAACAGGUUAAUAUUCCUGUACUAUUUGAUGUUUGGUACCGAGGGACGGAGCAGGCAUAAAUUGGCCAAAACUGGAUUUUGGUGGAAACUUUCAACACGAUGACAGGUAGAAGAAAAACUAUCCUUGAGUGAAGAAGUGAUACGUUUUCAGCUAUUAGUUGAAAAUCAAUUGAUUGUCAAACUUCCAAGAAAAGCUCGAACUACUGUAUAACAUGAAAUACCUGUACCCUAAACCGACACAGGUGGGUUGGUAGAGUAUACCAAGGGGGCGAGAUACUUUCUUAGAUGAAACUCGGCAAAUGACCCUUUUUUUUUUUGAGUUUGUUC
rnacentral:rRNA from 1 species